GCCGUAGGGGGCGAGCGUUAUUCGGAAUUAUUGGGCGUAAAGAGCUCGUAGGCGGUUCGUCACGUCGGCUGUGAAAUCCCGAGGCUCAACCUCGGGUCUGCAGUCGAUACGGGCGGACUUGAGUACUGCAGGGGAGACUGGAAUUCCUGGUGUAGCGGUGAAAUGCGCAGAUAUCAGGAGGAACACCGGUGGCGAAGGCGGGUCUCUGGGCAGUAACUGACGCUGAGGAGCGAAAGCGUGGGGAGCGAAUGGG
rnacentral:rRNA from 1 species